rnacentral:rRNA from 1 species
UACGGGGGGAGCAAGCGUUGUUCGGAUUUACUGGGCGUAAAGGGCGCGUAGGCGGCCACCGCAAGUCGACUGUGAAAUCUCCGGGCUUAACCCGGAAAGGUCAGCCGAUACUGCGGGGCUAGAGUGCAGAAGGGGCAACUGGAAUUCUCGGUGUAGCGGUGAAAUGCGCAGAUAUCAGGAGGAACACCGGUGGCGAAGGCGGGUCUCUGGGCAAUAACUGACGCUGAGGAGCGAAAGCGUGGGGAGCGAACAGG